GCGAGUCAGGUGUCUUCGGACGCCGGCAUACGGCUCAGUAACACGUAGGUAACCUACCCUCAGGACUGAGAUAACCCCGGGAAACUGGGGCUAAUAUUAGAUAGAUAAAAGAUACUGGAAUGUUCUUUUACUCAAAGCUUUUGCGCCUGAGGAUGGGCCUGCGUCCGAUUAGGUUGUUGGUGGGGUAAUGGCCCACCAAGCCUAUGAUCGGUACGGGCAGUGGGAGCUGAAGCCCGGAGUUGGGGACUGAGACAAGGCCCCAGGCCCUACGGGGCGCAGCAGGCGCGAAACCUCUGCAAUGCGGGAAACCGUGACAGGGGAAUUCCAAGUGCUCAUGCAUUGCAUGGGCUGUUCUUUGGUCUAAGUAACCAGAGGAGUAAGGGCUGGGCAAGACCGGUGCCAGCCGCCGCGGUAAUACCUGCAGCUCAAGUGGUGACCGCUAUUAUUGGGCCUAAAACGUCCGUAGCCGGUUGAGUAAAUGCCUGGGUAAAUCGUGUCGCUUAACGAUACGAAUUCCGGGUAGACUGCUCAGCUUGGGACCGGGAGAAGCUAGAGGUACUCCUGGGGUAGAGGUGAAAUUCUGUAAUCCUGGGGGGACCACCAGUGGCGAAGGCGUCUAGCUAGAACGGGUCUGACGGUGAGGGACGAAACCCUGGGGCGCGAACCGGAUUAGAUACCCGGGUAGUCCAGGGCGCAAACGCUGCUUGCUUGAUGUUAGCUGGGCUCCGAGCUCAGCUAGUGUCGGAGAGAAGUUGUUAAGCAAGCUGCCUGGGAAGUACGAUCGCAAGAUUGAAACUUAAAGGAAUUGGCGGGGGAGCACUACAACGGGUGGAGCCUGCGGUUUAAUUGGACUCAACGCCGGAAAACUCACCUGGGGCGACAGCAAUAUGUAGGUCAGGCUGAAGGUCUUACCUGAAUCGCUGAGAGGAGGUGCAUGGCCGUCGUCAGUUCGUACUGUGAAGCAUCCUGUUAAGUCAGGCAACGAGCGAGACCCGUGCCCACUGUUGCCAGCAUAUCCUUCGGGAUGAUGGGUACUCUGUGGGGACCGCCGGUGCUAAACCGGAGGAAGGUGCGGGCUACGGUAGGUCAGUAUGCCCCGAAUCUCCAGGACUACACGCGGGCUACAAUGGACAGGACAAUGGGCUCCUACCCCGAAAGGGGUUGGUAAUCUCACAAACCCGGCCGUAGUUCGGAUCGAGGGCUGCAACUCGCCCUCGUGAAGCUGGAAUCCGUAGUAAUCGCGUUUCAAUAUAGCGCGGUGAAUACGUCCCUGCUCCUUGCACACACCGCCCGUCAAACCACCCGAGUGAGGUAUGGGUGAGGGCACGGACAAA
rnacentral:rRNA from 1 species